ACAUAAGUUACCCCCAAGCCUAGCAGCUUAAAACAACAAACAUUUAUUAUCAUACAGUUUCUGAAGGUCAAGGAUUGGGACCUCAGGCCAUGAGGUUGCAGUCAAGCUGUUGACUGGGUUUGCCAUAUCUCAGGGCUCAACUCGGGUUGAGGGAUCAACUUUACUGGUGUGGUUGUUGGCAGGUCUCAGUUCCUCCUUGUUCUUCAUUUGAUGGGUUGCUAUGCAGGGCUAUCUGAGUUUCUCAAGACAGGGCACGGGGUUUUCCCCAGAACCAGAGAGCUAGACAGACAGACAGACAGAUAGUCAGGGAGGGAUGUCUAAACAAAAGCUGCAGUCUUUCGUUUUAGAAGCAACAGAACCUCAUAUCUCCCUAUGGUGUUAGUCACAUGGUACAAUGUGGGAGGGAAUAGCACAAGGGUGUGAACACAGGAGGUAGGAUCAUGGGGCCAUCUUGGCUACUGGCUACUCACAUCAACCCAUCCCGAUGUUUAGACUCAUUUGGAUCCCGAUUCAAAGAAACAACUUCCUUAAAAUGGCAUUUAUGAGGUAUUUGAACACAUGCUUGCUGUUUGAUAAUAUUAAGGCAUUACCAUCAAUUAGUUUAGGCAGGAUAAUGAUAUCAGGUUUUUUGUGUGUGUGCGUGCAUGUAAGUGUUGAUUGCUUGAGGAUAAUGAUAUUGUGGCUGUAAUUAUUUUAAAGCAUUCUUAGCUUUUACAGAGCCAUAUAGAAAUGUUUACCGUGUCCCAGCUGAGGAGCGAACAGCCGCUGGCAGCCACGGAUCUCACCGCAGCUCUGAGUUUUUAGAACUUCAAUUAUAAAAAUGGGCAGAAUUUUUCUUGAUCAUAUUGGUGGUACCGGUCUGUUUUCUUGUGCAAACUGUGAUACGAUCCCGACCAACCGUUUGGAACUCAUCUCCACUCCAUUCACAGGCGCCACUGGCAGGGCAUUUCUUUUUAACAAGGUAGUUAACCUGCAGUGCAGUGAAGUUCAAGAUCGGGUCAUGCUCACUGGCCGCCACGUGGUUCGAGAUGUGAGCUGCAAAAACUGCAAUAGCAAACUGGGAUGUGGAUCUAUGAGUUUGCCACUGAAGGCAGCCAGCAAAGGCCGUGUGAUCCUGGAACGUGCUCUAGUUCGAGAGAGUGAGGGCUUUGAGGAGCAUGUACCAUCUGAUAACUCUUGAAGAAAAAGAGAUAAAUCCAUCUUUUCCCAGGUCUCCUUCACUGAGAUCAAAAAUCUACUUACAUACACUGUCACCUUAGCAUCAGAGUCAGAUUCAUGAACUGCGGAACAAGAGGUUGUGAGAAUCUAAGAUGGAACCUUCCUUUCUUUCUUUCUUUCUUUCUUUCUUUCUUUCUUUCUUUCUUUCUUUCUUUCUUUCUUUCUUUCUUUCUUUCUUUCUUUCUUUCUGUAUUUUACAUCCAACAGCAGUGUGUGGAGAGAAUAUUAUGCAUAUGCCGUUAAUUUUUUUCCCCUAUGUUUACAUCUUGAGGCAAAAGAGUCUGUCUGCAGCUACUUGGUGGGCUAUGUAAGGAAAAAAAUCUGGGCAAUUAGAGUGAAAAAGUGUGUUUGAUGUGAAUUUUGAAAGGAAAAUAUGUCAAGAGCAUGGUUUUUAAACUUAGUUGGACUUCAUUUAAUUUUUUUUUUAAAAAAAACCAGCUAUUUCACUUGAUUUGCUAGCUUCAGAGAAGAGAUCUGAAUCUGUGCCCAGUGCGAAAGGCUCAGUGUUAGCAUGGCUUGUGCUGGCCAGUGGGCCAUAUUCUUGCUGGAGAUGAGCCACAGCACCAGAGCCCAUUCUUCCUUGUCAGUCUUGACCCAAAGAUGUCACCAUUCCUAGUUAUUUGUCACCACAUAAUUGGUGUUGAUUGGAAACAUUUUCUGAAAUGGGCAGAACUGCUUGGUUGUCUUUUUUCCAUGUAACUUAAGCAUAGUAAUAUAAAUAAAGUAAUAGUUGGA